rnacentral:piRNA from 1 species
UUCCUCAAGUGCUGGGCUGUGG